rnacentral:tRNA from 1 species
GCUGACAUGGCUCAGUUGGUAGAGCAGUUGAUUCGUAAUCAACAGGUCGUGGGUUCAAGUCCCACUGUCAGCUCCA